CUGAAAACACUGAUUCUCAUUCAUACGAUCACCAAAGUUAAGCAACAUCGAGCCUGGUAAGUACCAAGAUGGGUGAUUUCUUGGGAAUACCG